GCACGAAGGUUGGCUAAUCCUGGUCGGACAUCAGGAGGUUAGUGCAAUGGCAUAAGCCAGCUUGACUGCGAGCGUGACGGCGCGAGCAGGUGCGAAAGCAGGUCAUAGUGAUCCGGUGGUUCUGAAUGGAAGGGCCAUCGCUCAACGGAUAAAAGGUACUCCGGGGAUAACAGGCUGAUACCGCCCAAGAGUUCAUAUCGACGGCGGUGUUUGGCACCUCGAUGUCGGCUCAUCACAUCCUGGGGCUGAAGUAGGUCCCAAGGGUAUGGCUGUUCGCCAUUUAAAGUGGUACGCGAGCUGGGUUUAGAACGUCGUGAGACAGUUCGGUCCCUAUCUGCCGUGGGCGCUGGAGAACUGAGGGGGGCUGCUCCUAGUACGAGAGGACCGGAGUGGACGCAUCACUGGUGUUCGGGUUGUCAUGCCAAUGGCACUGCCCGGUAGCUAAAUGCGGAAGAGAUAAGUGCUGAAAGCAUCUAAGCACGAAACUUGCCCCGAGAUGAGUUCUCCCUGACUCCUUGAGAGUCCUGAAGGAACGUUGAAGACGACGACGUUGAUAGGCCGGGUGUGUAAGCGCAGCGAUGCGUUGAGCUAACCGGUACUAAUGAACCGUGAGGCUUAACCUU
rnacentral:rRNA from 1 species